rnacentral:lncRNA from 1 species
GCCCAGACGACCCAUGGCUAGGGUAAAGCUGGUGCUGUCCUAGAAAUUGGGUCUCCCCUCCCAGAUCCAGGCUGCCUCCUGCAGGCUGCAGACUCUGACAUCCAGCCAUCUCAAUAUUCCAGAGAAGAGGAUGAGUGUGAAGGGUGGUGGCGAUUUUAAACAAGGUGAUCAGGAAGACCUUGUGGAUAACUUCGGGUCUGAGCACACUCCAUCAGGGUUUCCGUAGCAACCAGAGGACUUCACAGGAGAGAGUGAAGGGGAAUUAAGAGCCAGAGAGAGCAGAGGAGAGAGGAGGAGUAAGUGGUAGCAAGACAGAUGGGGAGCUGGCAGGAACUCCAGGGGGAUCCCCAAGUCCCAUGUUGCCGUGGAGGGUUGUGCCAAUAGGUCCCUUUGGUUGCCCCCUUCCCCAUCUGGAUCUCUUGCUGACCCUCAAGAAGUAACUGUCCAUCUGGGCAGGCCCCAGAGCUGACCCCUCAUGCAAAACCCACCCCCUCCCUGCUGGCAGGCCCUGAGCGAGGCUCCGGCUCCCUCUGCGGUCUAGCUCCCUCCCUAGCCCCUCUCUUGGCAAUAGUGGAACUGGCUGCAGCCCCUGGGUGGGUUUGGGGAGCGUUUCCUGCCAUUCCUUCCCUGGCCGUGUAUGGAGCAGUGGGUACUGGGGGAGGACAGUCAGCAUUCUGCCCUGCUGACCAAGGUCCCCACCAUUGGCAUUUGGAGAUAUGGCCAGGUCCCCCAGUCAUGAAGACUCAGAUGGGCUGUAGGUAAGGGCCUGGCUGGAGGUGCUCAGAACAAGGGCCCAGGCCUGGGCAUGGCAUUCAGGGAGCACAGAGAAGCCUGAAUAGAGCUCUGGCCAGUGUGCUGCCUCGCAUUCCCUUGACCCCAUAGGUCCGGAAGAUGCCUGGCUUGGGACCCGAGAGUGGCAGAAUAGCAAAGCCUGCAGCAGCCACAGCACUGUGGUCCUGAGACCCAGGCCAACUUCCUAGAGGACUGGUCGGUGACUUCAGAGGGUAGGGGUGGCCUGGGCCAACACCCAAUUCCAGCUGUCCCUCUGCCCCCAUACAUGCAGCCCCCCGAAAACCCAGAUUCCAAAACCACCUUCUUGGACUCUUCCCUGUUUCUAGCUUCUGACAUUCAAUCAUCUCAAUAUGACAAAUAUCACCAAGUCCUGCAGAAUAUUUCUUCACAAAGAACUGCCCCCUGUCCCAUCAUAAAGACACCUGGGCCACCCCAUGCUCUUCCAACCCAUCUCCCUGCCCAGUCUCUCCCUGGGCUUUUUCUAUACCCUCCCCCUCCCGCCCUCUGCAAGGAGCCCUUGGUAAUGAAGAGCAAACUCAUAAAACAUUCAUCCUGGGUAAUACACCAUGUAGGAGCUGCCUGAUCUCAGUUCUGAUAGAACAGGCCAGGUCAGCAGGACGCUGGGGCUUAGGCUUCUGAGGGUUUGGGCUGACUUCUCUACCUUGGGCUCAAGUUCCAGCCACUUCCCUUAAGGCA